UAGGGAAUCUUGCGCAAUGGACGAAAGUCUGACGCAGCGACGCCGCGUGCGGGAAGAAGGCCUUAGGGUUGUAAACCGCUUUCAGGAGGGAAGAAGCGAAAGUGACGGUACCUCCAGAAGAAGGACCGGCCAACUACGUGCCAGCAGCCGCGGUAAUACGUAGGGUCCGAGCGUUGUCCGGAAUUACUGGGCGUAAAGAGCUCGUAGGCGGUCCAUUUAGUCGGCUGUGAAAGCUCAGGGCUUAACCCUGAAAUAGCAGCCGAUACUGGUGGACUUGAGGCAGGUAGGGGAAGGUGGAAUUCCUGGUGUAGCGGUGGAAUGCGCAGAUAUCAGGAGGAACACCAGUGGCGAAGGCGGCCUUCUGGGCCUGAUCUGACGCUGAGGAGCGAAAGCGUGGGGAGCAAACAGG
rnacentral:rRNA from 2 species